rnacentral:rRNA from 1 species
AGCGAACGCUGGCGGCGUGGAUUAGGCAUGCAUGUCGAGCGAGAAACGGGGGCAACUCCGGAGUAAAGCGGCACACGGGUGAGGAACGCGUAGACAACUUGCCUCUAGGACCGGGAUAACGGCGGGAAACUGCCGCUAAUACCGGAUGGCCUCGGAGCCCGGCAUCGGGUGCCGAGUAAAGGUGGGGACCGCAAGGCCUGCCGCCCAGAGAGAGGUUUACGCCCUAUCAGCUAGUUGGUGAGGUAACGGCUCACCAAGGCGAUGACGGGUAGGCGAGCUGAGAGGCUGACCGCCCACAUUGGGACUGAGAACUGCCCAGACUCCUACGGGAGGCUGCAGUCGAGAAUCUUCCGCAAUGGACGCAAGUCUGACGGAGCGACGCCGCGUGCGGGAUGAAGGUCUUCGGAUUGUAAACCGCUGUCACAUGUUAUGAACGCGCAGGGACCAACACUCCCUGCGUUGACAAAGGCGCGGGAGGAAGACACGGCUAACUCUGUGCC